GAGCAGAGAUUGCACCAUGAGCCAUUGCAC
rnacentral:piRNA from 1 species